UAAGGAAUAUUGGUCAAUGGACGCAAGUCUGAACCAGCCAUGCCGCGUGAAGGAUGAAGGUCCUCUGGAUUGUAAACUUCUUUUAUCUGGGACGAAAACUGGAUUUUUAUCUCAAUUGACGGUACCAGAGGAAUAAGCACCGGCUAACUCCGUGCCAGCAGCAGCGGUAAUACGGAGGGUGCGAGCGUUAUCCGGAUUUACUGGGUUUAAAGGGUGCGUAGGUGGGCUGAUAAGUCAGUGGUGAAAUCUCCGAGCUUAACUUGGAAACGUCCGUUGAUACUAUAGGUCUUGAAUUAUCUGGAAGUAAGCAGAAUAUGUCAUGUAGCGGUGAAAUGCUUAGAUAGGACAUAGAACACCAAUUGCGAAGGCAGCUUACUACAUAUAAAUUGACGCUGAGGCACGAAAGCGUGGGGAUCAAACA
rnacentral:rRNA from 1 species